rnacentral:rRNA from 1 species
AACGAACGCUGGCGGCAUGCCUAACACAUGCCAGUCGAACGAGACCUUCGGGUCUAGUGGCGCACGGGUGCGUAACGCGUGAGAAUCUGCCCUUGGGUUCGGAAUAACAGUUGGAAACGACUGCUAAUACCGGAUGAUGACGUAAGUCCAAAGAUUUAUCGCCCAAGGAUGAGCCCGCGUAGGAUUAGCUAGUUGGUGAGGUAAAGGCUCACCAAGGCGACGAUCCUUAGCUGGUCUGAGAGGAUGAUCAGCCACACUGGGACUGAGACACGGCCCAGACUCCUACGGGAGGCAGCAGUGGGGAAUAUUGGACAAUGGGCGAAAGCCUGAUCCAGCAAUGCCGCGUGAGUGAUGAAGGCCUUAGGGUUGUAAAGCUCUUUUACCCGGGAUGAUAAUGACAGUACCGGGAGAAUAAGCUCCGGCUAACUCCGUG